GUGUUUUCCUAUUUUUCUUCAUCAAACUUCAGAUAACAAUAAAAUGAUGUUCAUGUGAUUGCAGUCCAAUAACACUCUUCUUCUACGAUGCCAACUUAGGAUUCUAGAUCACUGCCAAGAUAAGAUGUUUGACAAAGAACGACAUGAAGACCAUGCCAAUUGUCGAAUCUCUCCCAUUCUCUCAAUCUGCCUUUUCAGUCUUAAUCAAUAGUCUUUGCUCUAUGCGUUGGGAUGUAAAGGCUAAAGUGAGUGGCCUAAUACAUACUCACCAAACCAAAAUGUAACUGUACUCAAACAAGGAACCAAUUUUUACCACUGCGACGUCGGCAACCAAAGAGAGUGUUUGGUAUCUUAUCAGCUAUGCAACCACCUUAGGUUUUUGUACCCCAUUCUUCUAUUAGUUUUAAUUUGAAUUAUAAGGCAAAAAUCACCCAUUGCUUUUACUUGAUUACUGUAGAGCAUAUUUUCCAUGUGCACUCUCUUUCUCUUUGCAUAAUUCAUAUGCUGGAAGUUGUAGAACUAAAUUAAUUGAACUCAAUUGUAUAAAUUCUAUUUCACCAAUUAAAGCAUGGGUUCUUUGUUAUAUUUU